UACGUAGGGUGCGAGCGUUGUCCGGAAUUAUUGGGCGUAAAGAGCUCGUAGGCGGUGUGUCACGUCGGCCGUGAAAACCUGGGGCUUAACUCUGGGCGUGCGGUCGAUACGGGCAUCACUAGAGUUCGGCAGGGGAGACUGGAAUUCCUGGUGUAGCGGUGAAAUGCGCAGAUAUCAGGAGGAACACCGGUGGCGAAGGCGGGUCUCUGGGCAUUAACUGACGCUGAGGAGCGAAAGCAUGGGGGAGCGAACAGG
rnacentral:rRNA from 1 species